UGUGUCUUUGUUAGCCUCUGUAUAAUCUCAGCACCCAGAACCAAAUCAGCUCAUGUUAAGCCUGUCAUGAGAGCCUCUGUAAUGCAUACCACAUUUCUGUGACCAACACAGAUCAGACCUAAUAUUGCCAAAUUAAUGGGAUACCUCCUCCAACAUCCUUCACUUUCAAUGUAAGGCCAGGAAUAACUCUCAAAGACAUGCCUUGUUUGGGUUUUUCUAUUUUCAUAGGGAUCCCAAGGCUCUCGUGAUCAUUUGUAAAGUAACUCUAAACUCCAGUCCCUUAUGGGCAGCUUUUAUUUGAGAAAACAUCAUUUUAUAGUGCUGAAGAUGCAAUACUGGAUGGACGUCUUUUUAGUGUUCACUUUACUCUCUUUACUCUCUAGAAGGCAGCGGCAAUUUCUCCAUACUGGGAACAGGUUUUACAUACUGGGAAACAGGUUUUACAUACUGGGGAACAGGUUUUACAUACUGGGGAACAGGUUUUACAUACUGGGGAACAGGUUUUACAUACUGGGGAACAGGUUUUACAUACUGGGGAACAGGUUUUACAUACUGGGGAACAGGUUUUACAUACUGGGGAACAGGUUUUACAUACUGGGGAACAGGUUUUACAUACUGGGGAACAGGUUUUACAUACUGGGGGAACAGGUUUUACAUACUGGGGGACAGGUUUUACAUACUGGGGAACAGGUUUUACAUACUGGGGGACAGGUUUUACAUACUGGGGAACAGGUUUUACAUACUGGGGGAACAGGUUUUACAUACUGGGGAACAGGUUUUACAUACUGGGGAACAGGUUUUACAUACUGGGGGAACAGGUUUUACAUACUGGGGAACAGGUUUUACAUACUGGGGAACAGGUUUUACAUAUUAUAUUAUUAAACAGAUAUUAUAUUGAAACAGAAAAAUAAUCUCAAUAUAGUUUAUGCACUACCACAAUACCUAAACACCAGCUGUGUAGUCAGAAAUGAGAUGCCCAGUUAUGCAGUCACAGGUAACAGUAGUGUAAAGCACUGGACUUCUCCUGCAUUGAUCCUGUUUUAAUCCUGGUGUUUGUGUGUGUGUUUGUGUGUGUGUC